CUUUCUGCAAUAUCUUACUUAUAUCCUGGCAUUAGAGAGAAAUAAUACAAAAGCCUUGUAUUGUAUGCUUACCGUUGCAAGUAUAUUCAUGUAAUAUGUCAAUGUCUUCUUUUAGCUAGAUCACCCUUACAGCCAUGGAGAGGGAGGGCACAGACAGAGUGAGGCAAGAGACAGAUUUUCCAGCAAUCCUCUGAGCACCACCAACAUUCUGGUUGACAAAACGAGCCCUUCCAGGUCACCACUAGCAAAACAACUUGAUGUUUCACAGCACACUGUAUGGCUAUAUCCUCAAGGCACACAAAGAACUACUAUCAAGUCUUAGCCGUGGCUACGGUCUACCCCCUCUGUUUUACAAAAUCAACCUUUCUGGCUCUCUUUAAAAUGGUCUUCAACUCAAGGAAGUGCCCUCUCUUCCUUGUUUGUUGUUCCAGAGGGAGGCAAGAGACAGGCUGUAGCAAUAUCCUCUGUGGUAGUGGCUAGACCAGUCUCUGUUUCAGUCCCUCCAAAAAUAGACUGCACAGAUUAGAAAUCCUAAAAGCGUCCUUUCCACCUUUCAGAAGUCAAAGAAACUGCUUUCUAAGCAUCCGUGUUAGCCUCUCCCUCCAGUCUUUUGUCAGUGCUUGCCCACCGAGCACUAACGACUUGCGGCCUAGCCCUGUGCUCCGACCGUGUGGGUGCUUCCCGUGGCUGAGGCAGGCGAGGGGGAAGGGAUGUGGCUUUCUCUCCUCAGAGUCCACAAAAUUGAAUUGAGAUUUAAAAAGAAGACUAGGCUCUUGACAGAUUGGCUUUUGUAAGGCACCACACAGACCGUCCUCUCUCUCUGUGUCUAUGGGUUUCUCCCUCCGUUUUCCUCAGCCUGUGUGUGUGUGUGAGCUAGCAGAGCAAGAGAGAGAGAGGGAGGGAGUGUGCAGGGAGGGGGAUGGGGGCAUGUGUGUGCUCAGGGAUUUGACACUGCUAUUCAAGCCCUGUGGUUGCCAUGGCACCAGCUGCCUUAUAUGGACAUUGAAGUCAAAGAGCAAAGAGUGGGCUGUGGGGCUUAUCACACACAGAGAAAAAGAAUGUGGAGGUUCGCUCUCCUCGGAGAGAGGCAUGACCCCAAGGCCUGACUCUAAGCACACGGCCAGAACUACCCCCGACCAUGGCAAACAACUCAAAGCCCUCCAGGAAAUACACAAGACAUGGUUCUGUCUCAGCUCCCAACACAUUGGGUGGGCUUUCUAUGGCAAAUUGUCAAGUUACUUGUUUAUUUACUCUGUUCCUACAGACAAGUUAUGCAAUAGACUACUUGAAAUUGUAACAUUUCACACCUGAAUCCCUCCUAUAAUGUCAAUAACAAAGCACAGAUUACUCUACAACCUUUGACCUCAGUAAUAUGAAGUAGGCCUACACAUGUUUUCUCGGAGUAAUGCAUUAACCCUGCAAAUCAUAGCCUGCACUUUGAUCUUAUCUCCUGGCCAAUGAAUAGACAGCUUAAGACCCACCUCAUUGUGCUAAAAGAAAACGCCACGUUUUGGUCAUCACCAUUUCACAAAGGUCCUCUAUCUUCUUUCUUUGUGGAGCACAUGGUGAUUCAUGUCCGAGGUUAACCCCAAAGGUCACGCAGACUUACUCACCCUUGCCUCGCUAAGCCCAGGGUCAUCCUAGAUCAGGGUUCCAAAACUGGAGCCCGUAAUUAUGUUCCAGGACCCCGACCAUUCACUCAAGAAACAAAUCGGCCUGCGUCUGAAUCUAGUAGAUGAGCCCUGUCCUAAACUGUUGGUCUUUGUGGGUCUGCCUCUCCAGGAUGGUCUAGUUGAUGAUGCCUGUCCUAAACUGUUAGUCUUUGUGGGUCUGCCUCUCCAGGAUGAGUCUUUGUGGGUCUGCCUCUCCAGGAUGGUCUAGUAGAUGAGCCCUGUCCUAAACUGUUAGUCUUUGUGGGUCUGCCUCUCCAGGAUGAGUCUUUGUGGGUCUGCCUCUCCAGGAUGGUCUAGUUGAUGAUGCCUGUCCUAAACUGUUAGUCUUUGUGGGUCUGCCUCUCCAGGAUGAGUCUUUGUGGGUCUGCCUCUCCAGGAUGGUCUAGUAGAUGAGCCCUGUCCUAAACUGUUAGUCUUUUUGGGUCUGCCUCUCCAGGAUGAGUCUUUGUGGGUCUGCCUCUCCAGGAUGGUCUAGUAGAUGAGCCCUGUCCUAAACUGUUAGUCUUUGUGGGUCUGCCUCUCCAGGAUGAGUCUUUGUGGGUCUGCCUCUCCAGGAUGGUCUAGUUGAUGAUGGUUGUCCUAAACUGUUAGUCUUUUUGGGUCUGCCUCUCCAGGAUGAGUCUUCGUGGGUCUGCCUCUCCAGGAUGGUCUAGUUGAUGAUGGUUGUCCUAAACUGUUAGUCUUUUUGGGUCUGCCUCUCCAGGAUGGUCUAGUUGAUGAUGGUUGUCCUAAACUGUUAAUCUUUGUGGGUCUGCCUCUCCAGGAUUUUCUAGUUGAUGAUGCCUGUCCU
ensembl:lncRNA